UGGGUCCCAUUUCAUCUCUGAGAGGCUGAGAGAUGUACAGAGGAAAAGUUUCUAUUCUAUAUCUGUUCUUAUAGUGCACAUGUCCCCUUAGGAUCUGAGUGCCUAUAGAGCUCACCCCUAUUGUUGGUUCAGCUCCCUUCUGGAGGGAGAAACCUAAAGUGAAAGAAAAAUAGAGAGCCAAUGGAAAAGUGAAGGGAGACACUUGGCUGAGGUGGAGGGGAUAGAGAGAAAAAAUAGGGACAGCCUGAGAAGAGUCAGUGUGCUUGGAAAACUGGUUCUAGGUGCUGCUCCCUUCAGAGAUCAAAGUACUGGAAGAUCUUUUGUAUAUGCUAGAGAUGGUACUACCAGAUCCUCCUUUCCUGGAAAUGACCAGAGGAGUCUGCCAUAUUGAAGACAUAAGCCUGUAACUCUGUAGCAUCUGAAGGUCAAAGUUUCUCCUUAUUGAGAGAAAAAUCUUUCAAGUUUGUUCCAGUCUUCCUUAAGAUCUUCUGCUCAUCAUUAACAAUAAAAGAUGUAUUAUAAUUUCAA